rnacentral:rRNA from 1 species
GACGAACGCUGGCGGCGUGCUUAACACAUGCAAGUCGAACGGAAAGGCCCUGCUUUUGUGGGGUGCUCGAGUGGCGAACGGGUGAGUAACACGUGAGUAACCUGCCCUUGACUUUGGGAUAACUUCAGGAAACUGGGGCUAAUACCGGAUAGGAGCUCCUGCUGCACGGUGGGGGUUGGAAAGUUUCGGCGGUUGGGGAUGGACUCGCGGCUUAUCAGCUUGUUGGUGGGGUAGUGGCUUACCAAGGCUUUGACGGGUAGCCGGCCUGAGAGGGUGACCGGCCACAUUGGGACUGAGAUACGGCCCAGACUCCUACGGGAGGCAGCAGUGGGGAAUAUUGCACAAUGGGCGGAAGCCUGAUGCAGCAACGCCGCGUGCGGGAUGACGGCCUUCGGGUUGUAAACCGCUUUCGCCUGUGACGAAGCGUGAGUGACGGUAAUGGGUAAAGAAGCACCGGCUAACUACG